UUGGUCAUUUAGAGGAAGUAAAAGUCGUAACAAGGUUUCCGUAGGUGAACCUGCGGAAGGAUCAUUAGUGAAUUAAACAUGCUUGGUGUCUUCGCUUCGGCAAGGCCCUUGCUUAAAUCACAUCCUAACACCUGUGAACUGUAAGACGUAUGAUGAGGUCUUUGGCCAAGUCAUCGUCUGCCCAUUUUUAACAAACAAUUAAUGUAACAAACGUAGUCUUAUUAUAACCUAAUAAAACUUUCAACAACGGAUCUCUUGGCUCUCGCAUCGA
rnacentral:rRNA from 1 species